UACGUAGGUGGCAAGCGUUGUCCGGAUUUACUGGGCGUAAAGAGCGCGCAGGCGGUCGUUCAAGUCGCGUGUGAAAGCCCCCGGCUCAACUGGGGAGGGUCACGCGAUACUGAUCGACUCGAAGGCAGGAGAGGGUAGUGGAAUUCCCGGUGUAGUGGUGAAAUUCGUAGAUAUCGGGAGGAACACCAGUGGCGAAGGCGGCGACCUGGACGGACAUUGACGCUGAGACGCGAAAGCGUGGGGAGCAAACAGG
rnacentral:rRNA from 1 species